GUGGGGAAUUUUGGACAAUGGGCGCAAGCCUGAUCCAGCAAUGCCGCGUGCAGGAAGAAGGCCUUCGGGUUGUAAACUGCUUUUGUACGGAACGAAACGGUCUGGGUUAAUACCCUGGACUAAUGACGGUACCGUAAGAAUAAGCACCGGCUAACUACGUGCCAGCAGCCGCGGUAAUACGUAGGGUGCAAGCGUUAAUCGGAAUUACUGGGCGUAAAGCGUGCGCAGGCGGUUUUGUAAGACAGGCGUGAAAUCCCCGGGCUCAACCUGGGAAUUGCGCUUGUGACUGCAAGGCUGGAGUGCGGCAGAGGGGGAUGGAAUUCCGCGUGUAGCAGUGAAAUGCGUAGAUAUGCGGAGGAACACCGAUGGCGAAGGCAAUCCCCUGGGCCUGCACUGACGCUCAUGCACGAAAGCGUGGGGAGCAAACAGGAUUAGAUACCCUAGUAGUCC
rnacentral:rRNA from 1 species